ensembl:piRNA 21ur-227 ncRNA
UGCGAUGUGGGUUCAAUCACA